UUUACCCGCAACCAGUGAAAGAUUCUUAAGGUAAUUAGAAAAUCGAAAAUGUUACAGAUAUUUCUCCCAGUUUUUUUUAACCAAGAUGGAAAUAGAUCAAGCCCAUUAUUGGAUGUAAAAUUUGCAGCUGAAAAGUGUGUUAUGUUGUGUAUUACGUUAAACUUUAAUGAUUUUUAGUGGCUUAAUAUGUGGUACUUAUUAUCUGUGGACUGGUCCUACGGAUGUGAAACGCGGGUAGUCGAGCAUGAUGGGUCACCGUUUUUGAUGAUGGAGAAUUUCAUUUAACUUUUUUUUUGUUUUGUCAGGUCUUGGCGGAUGUUUUGAGCGCACAGUAACAAACACUGGUCUAAGUGUAUCAACGCAGGAAGCUACAAGAUACAUGUGAUUACAUCUGCUGAUCGGAAGGAGUUGCUGAGGAUGUAAAAAACAAGCCAUAUUUUGGGGAAAUGGAGUAGGAAGACGUUGGCUGGUUGCUGUGGCAUUUUAACAGUACCGCAGUAGAUGUUUAGGAAGUGCUGGUAGACGAAGCUAUGAUUACCUAGUAGAGCAAAACAGUUCCGCAAUCCAGAAUUUCAGAAACAAAGGAUGCAUCAUAGUUGGACUUGUGUAAACGGAAUUAAUGCAGUGGACUUUUAUUUGUUGGACAAUCCAUAUUAUUCGUUUGACAAUUGAUUUAUAAAGACACCUGUCAAAAUGUAUUAGGCAGGUAUAAAACAAAAUAAAAGGCUUCUUAUGGUCAACCUUCUUACUAUAGUAGCCUGCCUUCAGAAAAUUACCUCUUACAUUAUUUAGGUAAAGAGUAAAGGUGACAGGUAUCUCAUUACUGCAGACUAUCUGGAAUAAUGAUCUUUCCUCGGACAUUUAAAUGUAAAGGCUAAUUGCAGGUGGCCGGUAGAUGAAACCUGUUAUUCUAGCGACCAGUAGGUUUAAGGUCAAGGUCGGGUGAGCGAUUAGGAUCGAUGAAUGUCCGUUGUCCGUCCGUUAAAUUUAGUCUGUUUACACUCUAGCAUCAACAAUUUUAAAGCAGUUUUAAUCAAAAUCAAAGGAAAAUCUUGUAAAAACUCUAGAGGUCACAUUUAUGAACAUAUCUUUCUGAAACUUGGUUAGAACGUUUAUCUUGACAAUCUUUAGGAAAGUUUCGAAACUGGUUCAAGUGAGGUCAGAAACAAGGUCACUUGGCCAGAUUAAAGGAAAAACUUGUUAACUCUCUGGAAACCACUUUUUAAAUUUGAAACUCUUGAUAGUCAGAUUUUUUGUUUUAGGUUAAAUUUGAUUCUGUGUCGAAUCAAAGGAAAACUGUAUGUGUGUGUGUAAUAGGGUGUGCAGUUUACACUGAAUCUUCAUGAAAUUUGAUCAGAAUGUUUACCUUGCUGUAAUCAAGGUCAGCUUUGAAUAUGGGUUAUCUGGGUCAAAAACUAGGUCACCCGAUUAAAUCAAAGAAAACUGUGUGUGUAUGCAAUAAGGGCUGCAUUUUAUGCUUGAUCUUUAUAAAAUCUGAUCAGAAUGUUUGUCUUGAUGCAAUCUAGAUCAAGUGUGAAUAUGGGUCAUCUGGGGUAAAAAAAAUAGGUAACCCGGUCAAAUAAAAAAGAGCAAAACCUUGUGUGCAAUAGAGGCCGCAUUUUUCACUGAUCUUCAUGAAAUUUGAUCUGAAUGUUUGUUUUAAUACAAUCUAGGUCAAGUUUGAAUUUGUAUCAUCUGGGGUAAAAAAAUAGUUCACCUGGUCGAAACAAAG